rnacentral:misc_RNA from 1 species
GUUAAAAUGAAGUACAAUAUCUUGAAUUUGUAAUCAGCCAAAAAUCCAAAAUGGCAGCCUCUUAGUGUGUUUGUUGUAUGAUAGAAUUAGUCUGCUACGCCUACAACUUUACGCCGUUCACGUUUCUUCACACAUAUUCGUACAGUGAAAAUGGCUGAUCCUGGAGAUCGAAAGACGAAAAAGUCUUUUGUUUCACAAAGGCAGAUGAGAAACAGAAUUAAUGCAAGAUUGGAGGAUUACGUGAGAGAUUUUUCUGACAGCAACCUUCAGGAAGGCAUCCCAAGUGAGAUGCAGCAGAUAGUACAUAAACCUCCAACAAACGCUGCAGCUGAGCAAUUGGUCACUGCUUAUUAUGUCAAUCCGAUUUCACCAAAUAAUUUACCUGCUCCCUCUUGUGAGCCUGUACGCAAUGAAAGUAGUGACUCUGAGCAAGCUCAUGAACAAAUCGUCCCUGAAAGUUAUGAUGAAAACAGCUUUGAUGAUGAAGAAUCACAAACUAUCGAAUCAUCUGAUGAUUCAGAUGAUUGUUACGACUACUCUGAGAUUGACUGGAGUUUAUAUUCAAGAACAGUUUGGCUGAAUGGGUCGUCACAUCAAGAGUCUCUCGAGUUCAUGUGAACAGCUUAUUGAAGAUUUUGAAGAACAAAGCACUACUAGACUACUUACCACUCGAUACAAGAACGCUACUUAAGACAUCACGAGGGCAAUACAUGGAUAGUCCCUUGUUUGUACGGCAAUCAGAAAUUAAUUUAUUCAAAUCAGUACCCAUAAAUGAAUCGACUAUUGUUGUCCAUCCAUCUCGGAUACACAAAAUUUGUGAUUUAUAUCCUAG